AGAGCGUCGGAGGGGACCCAAGUCCACGCUGGGACGCCCGGGAGGAGUUCAGGGUUCAAGUGCGCGCCUGGGUCUGUGCACAUCUUCCCCUUCCUCGGCCUCCCUGGAGGGAAGACCGUAGAAGCUUUAUCAUAGGGCCUAGUGUCAUGAUCAUAUAUUUACUCCAUAAAUACCUGUGAGAUGUCUUCAAGCUUAUCUUCAUUUACAUUACAUGGGAAGAAAGCUAAUGGAACUUGAGAGCAGGUGAAAUGGAAGGCUAUGUGCAAGUUCUAAGGGAAUAAAGUUUGUUUUCUAAUGUUGCCUCUUUAUGUAGAUUGUUUUUUCAUAACUUGAUUAAAAGUCUCCGUCCUUUUCACCUUCUCCCCUGCCUGAAGUCAUUUCUGCCAUGUAUAUGAGCUAACGAUUUUUGGUGUAGUCACCUUUUCAAUUGAUCUGUGUUGUUUACCAAGUCUCACAUCAAUUUCAACUGUGCUGCCUCCCGGAGUUCUGCUAACUUGUGAGGACAAACAAUCCUCUCCGCCUGGCAGGCAGCGGAUGACCAGACCGCGCUCAGUUCUGAUUGGUUGAAUCCCCUGGGUCUGAUUAGUCCAGAUGAGUCAGAAGGCACGUUCCCAAGCGUGAGCUAUGUUUAUUGUUCGUUAUUGUUCUAAGUCUUAAACAACUGGAAAGAUAACAAAUAAAGUUUCCUUGAAAACACA
rnacentral:lncRNA from 1 species